CACAUACUCCCUCUGUUCCAAAUUACUUGUCACAAAAAUGGAUGUAUCUAGAACUAAAAUACAUCUAGAUACAUCCAUUUCGGCGACGAGUAAUUCGGAACAGAGGGAGUAGUAG
rnacentral:pre_miRNA from 1 species